rnacentral:lncRNA from 1 species
GAUCUUGAUAAGUUGUCUUCUUGCUGCAUUCUCUGCUCUGUGCUAUUUCUAAGCCAUGCCAGUGGCUUUGAAAAUCCAGGAUCUCCUGACCUUGGUGCACAAGGAACAGGAGGAGCCGUGAGCUGCUGGACGGAACAUGGACCAGGACUUCAAAAGCUGGACCUUUUCCAAAACCCCUUAUUAUUACCCCGACGCGUUCCCCUGGGAUCUGGGACCUCUGAAACCACCGCGGAGCGUGCACAGGAAUCUGUGCAGGCGGCAGAAGGCUGUAAAACCUCGCUCACAGCCUCGAGAGUCGCCGGGACGGACAUAAAACCCGAUGUUCGCGUAAAGAUCCCCGCGAGUCUAAGCAGAGGCGUUUAUUCGUCCCUGCGGACGCCACAGGCGGGGGGGGGGUGGGGCGCGGUUACGGCGCAGACAGAAAAGUCUCUUCCACCGGACCCAAAGUUAAAGCUUUUAAUUGGUCCAAAAGAGGAGGAUGAGACAGUGAUUUUUGAGUUUUUUCCACCCGAAGGUGAACAGGGCGGGGAUGGGGUAUCCUUUACCUGCUACCGGGAAGCGGAGCUCGCCCCUGAAGGCGUGGUUUCCCCGCCCCUUCCAGCUCGAAUCGCGGCAGAGCCACCCGUAGCGAUUCAGACGGCGUAAGCCCCUACCCGUCGAUUCGGGGGUCCUGCCACCCGACCAGCCAUGCGCGCAGCCAGGGCCGGUCCCGGAGCCAGCGCCCAUCCCCGCUGCGGCCCCGGCGCGCCCCGAGGCCAGGUUCACUUCCGCGUUCGAACUGCGCGCCGGCCUCUGACGUCAUCGCGCCCGCCGCAGCCGAUUCCGCUUUAGACCCUCCCGCUCCCGCGCCUGCGCCGUGCGGCCCGGCCCGGCCGCCCCGGGAGCCGCGGCUGCCCCGGUAACAGCGAUCGGCUGGGCCGCAGCCGGUUCUCGGCGGAACCCGCCCCCACCCCUGGCUCCAGCCACGUUCCCGGCCCCCGCCAGGCCGCUGUACCAGUGCCCAGCCCCGGCAUGUCUGGCCCUAACCCAUCCCCAGCCCCGGUCCCGGCUGCCCCCCCACGCAGUGCGGGAAGGAGGCGGCGCAGCCGUGGCGCCGGCUUGGCCCGUCGGCUCUGCACCUACAGCCGGCAGUACGAUUCCUACGGCAGCCGCAGCCCCACCGGGAAGCCUUCAGCAGCUGCUGCUUCAGCCUUCAGCCUUGCAUCGUCUCAGCCUACGUCUGCAGCGCAACCAGCCUCCACCAUCCCACCAACAAAGCCAUCUGCUGUUCAGCACCACGCUGCAGCAGACCUUCAGCCCACUGGAUCGGCAUGACAACUGCAAAAUGUUAAACCUUAUGUUACAUAAAGCACAGGACAAUUAAACACUAUCCUAUCUCCACAAGAAAUGAAGGACUUUUUAAAAUCUGUUUUAACUCCUUGUCCAGGACAACAAGAUCAGGCUUAUAUCGUCCCUGUUAUAAGGGAAGUCUCGGAUUGAGACAUGUAAUUUCAAGCACAUUCUCCACAAACUUUUGACGGAUAUUUAUCUGAACCUAUGGGACCCUUUCCACCAGAAGCUCCUGUUCAACAUCUUAGUUGCGAGGAUAUGGUGAGUGUCACAGCUUCAGAAGGCAUUCCUAUAUCUUCUCAAGCCUCGUCUUAUUUUUCUACCACAGGCA